GUCUGAAUUGGGAAGGUUUGGGACGGUUGGCGGGGUAUCGCUUACGCUGGGUUUGCAGCAUUGUGAGGGUGGUGGCAUGCCUAUGCCUGCUGGGACACAUCAUGGUUUUGCAGCCAUGAGAGGAGACGAUAUGUACAAUGCCGCAGCGUCUUCUCUCGGGGAAACGGUGCAUUUUGAAUGCGUAAAUAGUGGGAAUCCGCAACCGAGGUUUGGC
rnacentral:misc_RNA from 1 species